UUAGAAUUGGGGUGAUCAACUUUGCCAAAAAUGCUGGUAUGGUGCUGUGUUCGAUCAGAGAGCGGUUUCACCAGCAUUGGGAAGUUGUGGUCCAGCACUGGCCUUCCUCCACUAACAACUCCGGUCGCCAUUGUUUAAACACAGCUUGGGAUUACGGUGAGUGCUGAGCUCAAACGUUCGAGAUGGCCACCUACACAAAAAUGAUGAGGACGAUCGGAAUCAAUCACAUCGUUGAUGGAAUACUCUUGCCUAUUUGUUGGGGCGCCGGUAUCGCCUUUCCCUUCAACAGUCCAGUCGGCGCACCAGUGUGGUGCGGUAUCCUUUUCUUCAUUCCUCCCGGGAUCCUUGGAAUAAUUUUGGCUACUACUGACAACCGCGGAGUGG